rnacentral:rRNA from 1 species
GACGAACGCUGGCGGCGUGCUUAACACAUGCAAGUCGAACGGAAAGGCCCUGCUUUUGUGGGGUGCUCGAGUGGCGAACGGGUGAGUAACACGUGAGUAACCUGCCCUUGACUUUGGGAUAACUUCAGGAAACUGGGGCUAAUACCGGAUAGGAGCUCCUGCUGCAUGGUGGGGGUUGGAAAGUUCCGGCGGUUGGGGAUGGACUCGCGGCUUAUCAGCUUGUUGGUGGGGUAGUGGCUCACCAAGGCUUUGACGGGUAGCCGGCCUGAGAGGGUGACCGGCCACAUUGGGACUGAGGUACGGCCCAGACUCCUACGGGAGGCAGCAGUGGGGAAUAUUGCACAAUGGGCGGAAGCCUGAUGCAGCAACGCCGCGUGCGGGAUGACGGCCUUCGGGUUGCAAACCGCUUUCGCCUGUGACGAAGCGUGAGUGACGGUAAUGGGUAAAGAAGCACCGGCUAACUACGUGCCAGCAGCCGCGGUGAUACGUAGGGUGCGAGCGUUGUCCGGAUUUAUUGGGCGUAAAGGGCUCGUAGGUGGUUGAUCGCGUCGGAAGUGUAAUCUUGGGGCUUAACCCUGAGCGUGCUUUCGAUACGGGUUGACUUGAGGAAGGUAGGGGAGAAUGGAAUUCCUGGUGGAGCGGUGGAAUGCGCAGAUAUCAGGAGGAACACCAGUGGCGAAGGCGGUUCUCUGGGCCUUUCCUGACGCUGAGGAGCGAAAGCGUGGGGAGCGAACAGGCUUAGAUACCCUGGUAGUCCACGCUGUAAACGGUGGGUACUAGGUGUGGGGUCCAUUCCACGGGUUCCGUGCCGUAGCUAACGCUUUAAGUACCCCGCCUGGGGAGUACGGCCGCAAGGCUAAAACUCAAAGGAAUUGACGGGGCCCCGCACAAGCGGCGGAGCAUGCGGAUUAAUUCGAUGCAACGCGUAGAACCUUACCUGGGUUUGACAUGGAUCGGGAGUGCUCAGAGAUGGGUGUGCCUCUUUUGGGGUCGGUUCACAGGUGGUGCAUGGCUGUCGUCAGCUCGUGUCGUGAGAUGUUGGGUUAAGUCCCGCAACGAGCGCAACCCUUGUUCACUGUUGCCAGCACGUUAUGGUGGGGACUCAGUGGAGACCGCCGGGGUCAACUCGGAGGAAGGUGGGGAUGACGUCAAGUCAUCAUGCCCCUUAUGUCCAGGGCUUCACGCAUGCUACAAUGGCUGGUACAGAGAGUGGCGAGCCUGUGAGGGUGAGCGAAUCUCGGAAAGCCGGUCUCAGUUCGGAUUGGGGUCUGCAACUCGACCUCAUGAAGUCGGAGUCGCUAGUAAUCGCAGAUCAGCAACGCUGCGGUGAAUACGUUCCCGGG